GACAAAGAGAGUAUAAAAGUGAAGGAAAAAUUAAAAUAAACGAGAAAUAGUGAGAUAGGAUUCUUAAAUGGCCUGUUCUCACCUGAGAUGCCAUUUUGCAAGACUAGCACUUGUAUACAAGUCUUGACUAUUCCGCCAAGGCGAUUCUCAACUACCAGCCCCGGAUUUUCAAAUCAAAUCGCCGGCAAUGGGCCAUCGGAAAAUCCUUUUCCCAGCGAGCCGCUUGGGUUUGUUCUUUAUACUUUACCUGCUUUCAUCCACUUGCGUUUCCUUUUCCUUUCCGUUUGUGAAGCCCAAGCAACACAAAAUCAACGGACCCAUCAAAACUCUUGUCAUUUUGGUGAUGGAAAACCGGUCUUUUGAUCAUAUUCUGGGUUGGCUCCAUAAGAGCCGACCCGAUAUUGAUGGGCUUAAGGGGUCGGAGUUUAACAGGGUUAAUGCUUCAGACCCUUAUUCUUCCAAAAUCUUUGUCUCGUAUGAUGCUGUAUUCGUUGAUUCUGAUCCAGGUCACUCUAUUCAAGCUAUUGGGGAGCAGAUAUUCGGGUCGAAUGAUUCUUCAGCAAACCCAGCUCCGAUGAACGGGUUCGUGCAACAGGCUGUUAGUAUGGGGGUACCUGGUAUGGAGCAGACCGUGAUGAGCGGGUUUAAACCGGAGUUAUUACCGGUUUACACUGAUUUAGCGAAUGAGUUUGGGGUUUUUGACCGGUGGUUCGCGUCGGUUCCAGCUUCAACUCAGCCGAAUCGGUUUUACGUUCACUCGGCAACUUCUCACGGAGCUUCCAGCAAUGUCCGUAAAGACUUGAUCCAUGGGUUCCCUCAAAAGACUAUAUUUGAUUCUUUGGACGAAAAUGGCCUUUCAUUUGGAAUUUAUUACCAAAACAUUCCAGCUACCUUAUUUUUCAAGUCACUCAGAAAACUAAAACACAUUUUUAAGUUCCAUAAUUAUGCAUUAACGUUCAAAAUACACGCUAAACUUGGCAAACUUCCAAAUUACGUUGUGAUUGAACAGAGAUAUUUCGAUGUUAAAAUUGACCCAGCAAAUGAUGAUCAUCCAUCACACGAUGUAGCACUUGGACAAAAAUUUGUUAAGGAGGUGUAUGAGACAUUGAGGGCAAGUCCACAGUGGAAAGAAAUGGCACUCUUGAUUACAUAUGACGAACAUGGUGGCUUCUUUGAUCAUGUACCAACUCCUGUUUCUGGUGUGCCUAAUCCUGAUGGCAUUAUCGGGCCUCCACCAUAUUACUUCAGAUUUGACCGCUUGGGGGUUCGUGUCCCCACCUUCUUGAUUUCACCAUGGAUUGACAAGGCCACUGUGAUCCAUGAGCCGAAAGGUCCAACUACGUCUUCACAAUUUGAGCAUUCUUCCAUACCAGCAACUGUGAAAAAGCUUUUUAAUCUGAAAUCAAGUUUCUUAACCAAGCGAGACGCAUGGGCUGGGACAUUUGAGAACUAUUUCCGCUUGCGUAAGACUCCUCGUGAUGAUUGUCCAGAGAAACUUUCGGAGGUGAUGAUAAAUCUAAGACCAUGGGGACCAAGAGAAGAUGCAAAGCUCUCUGAAUUUCAAAUAGAACUGAUCCAGCUUGCUUCACAGCUUAAUGGAGACCAUGUUCUGAAAAACUACGCUGAUAUUGGACGGAAGAUGAGUGUCCGUGAAGCUGAUGAAUACGUAGAUGAUGCAGUCAAUAGGUUCUUGGAAGCUGGUAGCGCUGCUCUGAGAACUGGAGCGAAUGAGAGUGCCAUUGUUGCAAUG
rnacentral:misc_RNA from 1 species